rnacentral:rRNA from 1 species
AACGAACGCUGGCGGCGUGCCUAACACAUGCAAGUCGAACGAGAAAGGGGCUUCGGCUCCGAGUAAAGUGGCGCACGGGUGAGUAACACGUGGGUAACCUGCCUCUAAGAUUGGGAUAACUCGUCGAAAGAUGAGCUAAUACCGAAUAAGACCACAGUUCCCGCGGGAACAAGGGUCAAAGGUAGCCUCUGCUUGCAAGCUAUCACUUAGAGAUGGGCCUGCGCACCAUUAGCUAGUUGGUAGGGUAACGGCCUACCAAGGCAAAGAUGGUUAGCUGGUCUGAGAGGAUGAUCAGCCACACUGGAACUGAGACACGGUCCAGACUCCUACGGGAGGCAGCAGUGGGGAAUAUUGCGCAAGGGGCGAAAGCUUGACGCAGCAACGCCGCGUGAGUGAUGAAGGCCGUCGGGUCGUAAAGCUCUGUCGGGAGGAACGAAUGCUCCUGAGGUUAACAGCCUCGGGAGGUGACGGUACCUUCAAAGGAAGCACCGGCUAACUCUGUG